rnacentral:rRNA from 1 species
AGCGAACGUUAGCGGCAGGCCUAACACAUGCAAGUCGCACGAGAAUCCGGCUUCGGCCGGUAGUAAAGUGGCGGACGGGUGAGUAACACGUGGAUAAUCUGCCCUUCGGCGGGGGACGAACAGUCCGAAAGGACUGCUAAUACCGCAUACGUCGGCGAGGUCUUCGGAUCUUGCCGGGAAAGAUGGCCUCUUCAUGAAAGCUAUCACCGAAGGAUGAGUCCGCGUCCCAUCAGCUAGUUGGCGGGGUAAUGGCCCACCAAGGCUUAGACGGGUAGCUGGUCUGAGAGGAUGAUCAGCCACACUGGAACUGAGACACGGUCCAGACUCCUACGGGAGGCAGCAGUGGGGAAUAUUGGGCAAUGGGCGCAAGCCUGACCCAGCCAUGCCGCGUGAGUGAUGAAGGCCUUC